AUGAACUCUGAAGCUUAACACUAAGUGAAGUUUUGAUUCUUAGUCUUACUGUAACAAUAUGCAAAUAUGGGUAAGGAAUACCUAAGGAUCAACAGCUCUAUACUUCACGUUGAACUUUCCUUAUGUUCUGAUUUUGGCUGGAGUAGAGCUAAUUUUCUCCAUGGUGGCUAGUGUGGGGCUGUGUUUUGGAUUUGUGCUAACACAGUGAUGAAGAUAUAGAGGUGUUUAUUAUUGCUGAGCAGUUUUCACACAGCGCCAAGACCUCUUCUGCUUUCUGUAUUGCCACGCUGGCAAGGAAGUUGGGGGUGCAUGGCAAGUUGGGAGGAGACACAACCAGGACAGCUGACCCUAACUGACCAAAGGGAUAUUCCAAACCAUACAACAUCAUUCUCAGUAUAUAAAGUGGGGGGAAGAAAGAGGAGUGAUGGCGUUUGUCUUCCCAAGUCACUGUUAUGUUUGAUGGGACCCUGCUCUCCUGGAGUUGGCUGAACACCUGCUUGUCUAUGGGAAGCAGCAAAACAACCAUGAACAUUGAAAAUAAAAGUGUCUGUGGAGAGAAGCAGGAGGUGAAAACAGCAGGUGCCUUGAAUGCUGCUGCAAAGAUGGUCACCGGGGUUAGCAGAGGUCCCAAGUAACCUAUAAGUAUAUAAAAAUCCUUUUCAGCUAAAAUAAAUCACUGCAGCUUCCCUCUCACAGCUGACCAGAGAUUUACUCAGUUUACACUCAGUUUAGGAUCCUCCCAAAGAGCUUGCAGCCUCUUCUGAACUCCUCUGCACAAAUAAUCCCCAACUCUUGCUAAGUGUCCAGGCAACCCCAAAAUAAUUUUUAUCUUUAUGCUUUCAAAUAUCACUGUUGCUAAGGGAAAAUCACUACUGUUUCCUCCUCGGCUUUCUCUUUGCUGCUCUCCCCCUUGUCAGUGAGGAUUAGGCUUGACUGCAGCUGAUUUUGCUGUCUCACUCCCUGCAAUGGGGUGCCAAGCAUUCCACAGUGACACAGCAGCUUUUCCCCUGUCCCUCCAUUUCCCUUGGCUGCUCCAACUCCCCCAAAGCCACGGGGCUGCAGAUUUUCAGCGAUGCAGGUUAGAGGUUUGGCCCACCCCAAGUCCCUGAAUACGCAAUGAAGAGAGAGGGACUCCUGGCUGGAAUCUGCAAAAGUGAUGCCCUCCUGCUCCUGUAUGAUGGGAAAUGAUGAACAGGACCCAUUUUCUUUGGUGCCAUUCAUUAUUUUGAACACCUUCAUCUUUUCCCUUCUCUGAAGCAAAAAGGUGAGAGUUGUGUCCCUCCAUUAUCGCUAAGGAAAUGAGGAGUAUCUUGCACUGAAAAGUAUUUACUGCGCAUCUCUGCCUGAAGUACGUGGAGCCUAUGCAGUAUGUUUGAUACCUGAUGUUUGCCAAGAGAUGGAGCUGCAGAGUCAGGCUACCUACCAAGCCUGACCCCGUAAAUCAGGAACGAUAGAAUAAAACCCUUGGCAGCAAAAGCCUGUAGCCUCUCAUACUGAUGCCUGCUACUCUUCCCAAGUGACAACGAGGCUUGUGUUGGGCACUUAGCCAACUCUGUCCAAUCUAUUCCAGUUUAUUUCAUUAAGUCAUGGCUCAGAAAAGCCAAGAAACAAGCCAUAUUAAUCUUGAUGGAUCCUGGCCUCUGCUCAGAUAAUGUUAUAGAAAAUGCUCAGCAGCCCCAGAGUUGAGCAGUAACAGGAUGAAAACAGCUGCUCUCUUGGACUUGCCUUAAAACCUCUGUUCCCUACAUAUACUCCUGUGAAACGUCAGUUCCACUGCACAGUUGUUACUCAGCUGGUAAUUUUCUGGGUUACUUUCACAAUUUAGGCAUUGCUCUAAACCUUGUCUCAGUUUUUAGUCAUCUGCAGUGUGAGACAGAAGAUAGCAAAAGGAUUCCCAAACUACCAGAGACCUGAGUUUGUCAAUCUGUGAAGUGUCCCUUUCCAUAUGGAUUUACAGGCUUAGCUCUGGAAGCCAUAAACCUGUGUUAGUACAGAGUAAAGCCAAGUAUUUUUGGAGCAGAGCUCGGGUUCAACCUUGGGUUAAUGCAGUGAUCUGGCAUGUCUGAGCCAGCUCCCAUCCACACCAUGCUCCUGUCCUUCCCAUCCCAGCACCCUGCCAAGUGGAACAAGUCCAGGUUUGUCUGUACCUGCCCGUAGUAUCCCGGGAUUGCCUGGAGCUACUUUGGGAUUAGGUACAUCAUGGGGAGUCUGCUGAGCUAAUCGGGCUCUCAGUCCUCUCCAAGGCCCAGGGGAUUCUCAGAGUAGACAUUCCUGCAAACCAAGUCACUCCAGUUUCUGGGUCUUCCCACAACAGUCGGGUCUGGGUCUGCCACAUCAGUCUCAUGCAAAAAAAAAGAGCCAUGAAAGGGCAAGAACUGACUUACCUAAGUACCCUCUUGCACUCAUGAGCAGUCAGGGCAUUUUGUUGUUUUAAAAUCUGUGUUCUGCUUCAUUUGCUUAAUUCAAAAUCCUUGUGCCUACUGAUUCAUUAGGUGAGAACCAGCAGAUUAAUAUGGAUAAAUUCUGCCUCAGUUGUGCUCCCAGAUGAGGGAGGAAGGGAGAGAGGGAAGUGAGGGAAGAGAGGUGAGUGAAGAGAGGUGAGUCUGCCUCUGCCUUUGGCUUGUGUUGCAAACCUCAGGACUGUGCCAGCCAGUUUUGAACCUUUCUUCUAAUGAAGAUUUCAUCCUUUGUGUUAUGUCAAUAAGAGAGACACUCAAAACUAAACAGAUUAGAAGAAAGGCCACUUGUGUAUUUGCUAAAUAGGAUUGGAAAAAAGUCCUUUUUCCUCCCUGUUUUUUUCAUGGGAAAAAGCUGACCUGGUUAUAAGCAUAAGUCCGGCAGAAAUAUCUUUGGGAAUACUGAUCAGAGAGAAGGGUUCAAAUACUUUUGGGGAUAAGGAUCCGGUAGCCUGUGUCUAGUUGGUAUUUCCUUUUGGGUGUCCAGGGCAGCUCUUUGCUUGCUAAUUUCUGAAAUUGUUGUUCUUUUCUGUAAUUUUAGGCUAUGAUUGGCCCUGGCUGUCAGAUAUUCUGAAAAUGUAGUGUGGCAGCCCCAAGCUCUCUUUGGAGUUUUAGACUACACAGAGUUUGGUGAAAUAUUUUUUAAUCUGAUUUCCCAGUGAAAAGUCUGUUUGUCAAUCAGUCUGUUGUUUUUUGGUUGGAGAGGGAAGAAAAUGCACAAAUAAUGCAUGAGAGAAGUGGACCAUUAUCCAUGCUGGUAGAUAGCAGAUGACUGGUCAAUAUACAUGUCCUUUUUGACCAUGCGUAGAUCCAAAAUACCAUAACACACAUUGUCCCUUGCUCUGGUGUCAAAAGAGAGAAGAUUUUGAGUUACAAGAAAAAAAAUACAUAUCUAACUUUACAUAAUAACUUCUUGAAAUACCUGUGGGUUUUUUAGUGUGGUAAAUAAAUGAUGGUUUUUUUAAACCAAAAUAACCCCCUUAUACCUUAGGUCUUCUGAUACAAGGACCUACAGGUACAUACACUCCACUGGAGCAGUGACUCCCAGCUUUCAUUACCAUGUCCCUGAGCCCAACAAGUCCGUGUGGAGCCCACACUGGGCUUGUGGGACUGCUAGCUUGGGAACUGGGCUAUGGUUCAGAUAAAAUAUGCUCGUUCCUCACCUCUGAAGCCCACAUUAUUGGUUAGAAACUGUAGCUUUAGGUAAGCCCUGGUAACUCACUGAAACUUUGUGCCUCAUCCUCUCUGCUCUGGUAAAUAGAAACAUCAAUAUUGGAUAAAUAUAAUUAUAUGUUUUGUCAUAGCUUAAAGAUGUUCUUCUUUAUACAGAUAAGCAACAUUUUCUUACUGUCUCUUAC